rnacentral:rRNA from 1 species
UGGGGAAUAUUGCGCAAUGGGCGAAAGCCUGACGCAGCAACGCCGCGUGCGGGAAGAAGGCCCUAGGGUUGUAAACCGCUUUCAGCAGGGAAGAAAAUGACGGUACCUGCAGAAGAAGGUGCGGCCAACUACGUGCCAGCAGCCGCGGUGACACGUAGGCACCAAGCGUUGUCCGGAUUUAUUGGGCGUAAAGAGCUCGUAGGCGGUUCAGUAAGUCGGGUGUGAAAACUCUGGGCUCAACCCAGAGACGCCACCCGAUACUGCUGUGACUUGAGUACGGUAGGGGAGUGGGGAAUUCCUGGUGUAGCGGUGAAAUGCGCAGAUAUCAGGAGGAACACCAGUGGCGAAGGCGCCACUCUGGGCCGUAACUGACGCUGAGGAGCGAAAGCGUGGGUAGCAAACAGGAUUAGAUACCCCCGUAGUCCCUGAGCGGGCUGGCAAGGCGCAU